UACGAAGGGGGCUAGCGUUGCUCGGAAUCACUGGGCGUAAAGCGCACGUAGGCGGCCUCUUAAGUCGGUGGUGAAAUCCUGGAGCUCAACUCCAGAACUGCCUUCGAUACUGGGAGUCUCGAGUCCGAGAGAGGUGAGUGGAACUGCGAGUGUAGAGGUGAAAUUCGUAGAUAUUCGCAAGAACACCAGUGGCGAAGGCGGCUCACUGGCUCGGUACUGACGCUGAGGUGCGAAAGCGUGGGGAGCAAACAGG
rnacentral:rRNA from 1 species